rnacentral:siRNA from 1 species
UCAAAGCUUUCAUGGUGUAGC